GCCGCGUGAUGAAGCUGGCGUACCAGCUCCGCUGUCUACGGAGUGAGACGGGUUCGAUUCCCGUACGCGGCGCCA
rnacentral:tRNA from 1 species